rfam:Zea mays cultivar B73 chromosome 10, whole genome shotgun sequence.
AGGAAGCUGUUAGAGUUAACGUUCCUACCUGAUGUCAUCUUCCUAGAUUGAAUCUGUCAUUUUUGUGCUUGCUGAACUUUUAGUUUGUUCUGCUGGCCUUAGCAGGCAGUAUAUCAGU